rnacentral:rRNA from 1 species
UACGGGGGAUGCAAGCGUUAUCCGGAUUUAUUGGGUUUAAAGGGUGCGUAGGCUGUGAGGUGAGUCAGCGGUGAAAUGCCCCCGCUCAACGGGGUGAAGUGCCAUUGAUACUGCCUUGCUGGAAUGCGGAUGCCGUGGGAGGAAUGUGUGGUGUAGCGGUGAAAUGCAUAGAUAUCACACAGAACACCGAUUGCGAAGGCAUCUCACGAAUCCGCGAUUGACGCUGAUGCCCGAAAGCGUGGGUAUCAAACAGG